AAAUGCCCCAGCCCUCUUAGCCUGUCCUCACAGGGCAGGUGCUCCAGCCGUCUGAGCAUCUUUGUGGCUAUCCUCUGGAAAUCCACAGAUUUUAUAUACAUUAUAAAAUCCAGUCUAAUCCAGUCUUUUUUUCUUUCAUAAGUGAAUUUUCAAGUGAUAAUUUGACAGACUAAGGAUAUGCAACUACAUGAUGCACCUGGCUUUCAAACGUUUGCAACCUAGCAUCAGUCUCAUCCUCUGAAAUCAGGGCAUCAUUGUUAAGUGAUAUCAAAGGUCACUUACCAAAUGCCAUAAGGGAACUAGCAACAAAAAAAAAGUGAUGCUGAUUUUAAAAGGCACUAAAUGCUUUCCAUACAUACAAACAUUAUUUAGAAGUUCUUUGCAAAGACUCUAUUUUCUCAGUGGCAAAGAACAACAUUAUAAAAUACACCUAAAAAACGGGCUGGUCAGUUCUUUGCGGGAACUUGCUGGUUAUUAAAAAGUAUUAUCAAUAUGACCUCUAGGGAAGAAAUAGUUUCUCAGUAUCUUUUUUUGUUUGUUUGUUUUCUUAUUGGACUUAUUUAAACCACAGCUUCUACAAACAGAAGUCACUGCUGAACUCUUACAUUCAUCACAUCUAACUGAGGGGAAGAAGUCUUCAAGAUGUGAAAGAUCCAGCUUCCAUAAUUUCAGCUAAUUAAAACGUGGUAAGGACUUUCUAUAAUAUUUCCAUCUGGGGGAGCUGGAAGGCUGCUUGCUCAUUUUCACAUGGAACGAUGGGCUGUCCUUUCAAUGCCGGAAGCACCCAGAAUGGAACCCCCGCAGCCGCUCUGCUCUACACCAGUUCAGCAAGGAGCAGAGCCUUGCCUUCCUCAGGCUGAUGGAAGCUAACAGCAGAAAAUUUGCAUACCCGCUCGGGAUUGGCUGCGGAACAGUCGCUUUGCAUCAACCAAUCUGUAAGCGUGUAGCUGAGUCACCACCAGGAGGCCUGUGCAAAUCUGCCCAGCAACCGGCUGAAAAUAGAGCCGGAACCAAGGUAUGUCACCAAGACUGGGUGUGACACGAUGCCUCCUUGCCUGUGACGUCGUAUACAUGUAAACACAACGUGCAGAAAGCCUCGUUUCACAGUCAUUACACUGCGAUGCUACUGUCACAGGGAGACAAAUGCGUAAACCUACUGUGAGCACAUGAAAUAAGGAGGAGACAGUCUUCAAAUCUUACGCCUGAAACAGAGACAUUAGGGCUUGAGCACCUACCCAAUCAGGACAGGCCGAAAGAGCUGGGGCUUUUCAGUCUGGAGAAGAGAAAGUUCUAGGGGACCUUACGGCGGACUUCCAGUACCUGAAGGGGGCCUACAGGAAAGCUGAGGAGGUACGUUUUAGACAGGCAUAUAGUGACAGGACGAGGGGAAAUGACUUUAAACUGAGAGUACAUUUAAACUAGAUAUUAAGAAAAAAUUCCUAAUUGUGAGGGUGGGAGACACUGGAACAGGUUGCGCAGAGAGGUUAUGAAUGCCCCUUUCCUGGAAGUGUUCAAGGCCAGGCGGGAUGGGCUUUCAACAACCUCAUCUGGUGGGAGGUGUCCCUGCCUGUACCAGGGGGGUUGGUCUUAAAGGUCUCUUCUAACCCAAACCAUUCUAUGAUUCUUCAUUUUUUUAAAGCAAGCAUUAACAGAAACUCAUUCUUACUCACUGUGGUUUAUAUGCCAUGUCACUUUGGUGACGUAAAUGGAAAUUGAGUCAUUUACUCCACUGCAGUGGAUGUACCUGAAUCUUCAUCAAAUGUGGACUCAUACCUCUGAAGUUAGACCUUUGUGGACUCCUGUGCUAUCCCUUGGCGUGCCACACAUCAUGACAGGUUUCUACUUCAUGGAACUGGUUGCUGGCAGGUCAAAUGCAACACCUUUAAAGGAUUAGAACGCACCCAGUGCAAACACAGCUGCCUCAUCGUGGUCUUCUGCAGCCUGAAAGGCACCAUCUGACCAUAUCUGGUACAUAAAACCAUCUGUAUUUUUUACAAGGUUGUAGUAAAUAAAGGGACAUGGAAGAAAGGUAGCCAGUGCAAACAGUCACAUUGACCACUGACAACAGCUGACAGCUUUGGAAUGAUUCAAUGAAAUGGAAUCACAAAAUUAAUGAGAAGUCACAAGAAGAAAUGAAAUAGAAUAAAUCUUUAAGUUACCAGAAGAAAGAAAAGAGGGAAAAAUUAAUCACUUUUCAUGUAAAAGCAACAAGUUACAAAAUCUUUACUAUCCUUAUCAUCUGUUAGAAUUAUCUGUCACAAGCAUCCUGCUUUCAGGAAAGGUCGCUCACUCAGUAGAUGUUAGCUGGCCUCUGCUAAUAAUCUUUACUGGCAGUUGUGACCACAAGACAGUUAUUCAUUGAUCAACAGAAGCUAAACUUUUUCCACAAGCUGAGGAAAGACAGGAACUGAAAAAUUAGGCUGUCAGCCUAAUAAUCUAUUCACUACUAGAUUCAAGAAGAAAAAAACAAACGUGUUUUCAGUGCUGGUAACCCAGUGCAUUAAUAUGCUAAGAACACCAUGUAAUGCAGGUAAUGGAAGUUUUUUGUAAUAAGCAAUCACAAAAGUUUCUAUGACAAUUUCUUGUUAUAAUAAAGAAUGCAAUAAAAUAAGAUUUUAUAGUAUAAGUAUACAGUAAUGGAUUAAAUUCUCUUGUGUCAAUGGGCACACAAUUAUUUUUCUGUAUUUGCUGCUAGUCAGAGAUUUGUCACAUGUCUGAAACUUUAAGAGUUUGGAAGAAGAAUUACCCAAGAUAUUACACAAAGUGCACUUCAAAUGUUUUAUAAUCAAAUAUAUAAGCAAUCAUAAAAUUGAUGAUUCUUCAACUUAACUCAGAACAAGCUCUGCAGACAAAGAUUGUCUGACUUAAAUUAAUUCUUUGCUAAAUUGAACAAGGGACAGGAAGCAGAAAGUAGACAAACACAAUGUGUUUGUUUCUUUAUGUAAUUCAACUAAUGGAAACAAGAGGUCAAGCACAAUACAACUACUUUCAAAAGGAUUUUUAAUAGUAAAAAGUAUCCUGAAACAGUAGUGAUUCUAGCUGCAUCCUUCGUUUCUAGAGUUUUCAACCAUACCUCUUCUCACCACACUUGCUACACAGUCAGUCUUGCAAUCUCAUUAUAUACAAUUUAUUAGAGUUCUUUUGAGACCAAAAAGUAUCUUGCCUUUCAUUCUUAAUAUAUAAAAUAAUCUGAUCUCCUAGUACUAUCUCCUUGAGACAACUGAAACUCAAUGUUAGUACAUAUAAAUUUUGAAAUAAGGUUGGUCCUAAGCGGCACAAUUGUAUGCAUCUGCAUUGGCAACAUUUUACGAUUUCUGAGGUGCUGACUUGCAUGUAAUGCUAAUAUACUCCUGUCAAUUCAUUGAUAUACUCUGAGAAACAAAAACACAUGAUCAAAAGCAGAGGAGGAUGAGAUGAUUUUCAUGGAAAGUUAUCACUUGCAGUUGGAUGAAAAUAAUUUCUGAUUUGGUUCUUUAAAAUAUACAUGUAUUUAUUCUUCCUAUCCAUGUUAUUGACUGAACCUUAAUAACAAAAUUACAUCCACCCCACAUAAACUGUGUUGGUAUUACAUUACACAAUAUUCUAUUGUGUAUGAAGGAUGAAAUGAAGCAAGAAUAUGAUGCAAGCACUUGAGAUCAUGAGGUUGCAUAUGAACUCAGAUUAGGGAUUUCAGGCACAUUAAAACCUUUUUGAUGCUAUUUUAACCGAGUGAGUACAAAGCAACCCAGCAAGUAAAAGAAGUCUUAGCCCAGAUCAAUCGUCUGAUGCUAUAACCAUGAGGCUACUCUUAAUUCUUAAGCCAGAACAAGACAGUGAGCAGAAGUGGGAACAGAGAACUGAUUUAAGCUGACCUUGUCACAUACAAGCUUUUGAACACGGUUUAUAUUAUCUGUACAAUAGCACCAAGCUAGGUCAGGAAGCCUAAAUCCAGGUAUACAUUUGGGAGGAUCAGUACUUCACUGGCUUCUUGCACUGGCUAACAAAACAAUCACAGGAACACCACAGCUGCCAAACUGGAAACAUGCAGCAGAACAGCCUUGGGUGUAAAUGUAUGAGUCAAGGAUUACUGUGACGGACAGGGAAAACUUCUUGAGUUUGAAAAAGCACUACAGCUGUCCCAUCAAGUCAGCUUCAUCUGAUUAUUUGUGCUUUCUAGGGCCACUGCAUGGAGGUUGUUCCCACAAAGAAAUAUAUUUGAUUUUAAAAUGUUUGCAUCUCUGAUGUAAAAGCAUUGUGUGCAAUAUUAAUUACAUAUACAAUACAUAGUUAUUUUUUGAAAGCUUCAAAGAUGAAGCAGUGUAAAUACACAGAUCAAAGAUGUAACUUCUGGUUUGGAUUGUACCAAAUUUUACAGCAAUAGGUGGGCCCUGAAACACAGAACAGCUUUUACAUAUAUUAUUAAAAAAGAAGAGAAUAUCCGCCUCUGCUCUAUUCACAAAACCGAGCUCCUAAUGUGAAAUUAUACUUAAGUAUUUCCAGAUUUACAUAUUCAGUUACAAACAUCAAAUGCUUAUUAUAUUCCAUAUUAUGAAUUCAGUACUGUGAUUAUUAUUACAUAAAAUUUGGAAACCUGUACUAUCCUAUCCCUUUAAAAAUAUUUCAGUGAACAUCCUGCACUAUGCAUACACACUUUAUUCUCUAUUUAAAAAAGCAAUGAUUUUUGGUAGCUCAUAUAAAUAUAUGCACAACACUAAGCUCUGUGCCAACUGAACUACUAGUAGUCAAGUACAUUUUUACUAAACAAAUUACUCUGGUGCUUUAAAUUGGGUGAUAAGCUUAAUCUCAUAACAUUAUUUUUCAGUGGAAAUUCUUUACUCACUGAUCUGCUUGGAUGAUUCAUUAAGAUUUAAUGAAUUGGUAUAUAUUUUAAACAUACAAGGAAAAAAGAAUUGAGGAGGAGUAUACUUAUAGCCAUGGCUGGUUUGAAUGGCUUUACUUACGUUACUCCAGACAAACUAAGCGUCAUCAACACAAACUUGAGUACUGCAUCAAUAAAAAAAGUCAGACUGCUGAGAAACAUCUAUGUCCGGUGUGUCAGAGGAUCCAUAAGAGAAUGUAACUAUGAAGCUUGUGGUAGCUGAAAACUAAUUACAUCUGAAAUAAGUAUCAUUUGGAAGAUUAAUAUUAUCUGCAUUUGAUAAUCAUGAAAAUGCUAAUUUUUGACAAGGAUCAACAGAGUUAGUUUAUUCCAAAACUUGAAAGUAGGAGUAUAAAUUCAGAGAAUAAAAUUACUUCUAGCAUUUAUAAUUUCUGAAAUAAUUGGGGAAAAAAAAAACAGAAAAAAACAACCUGGGUCAAGGGAUCCCCCGUUACCAAUACAGAGGAUGAAAUGACUGAAGGCAGCCCUGCCAAAAAAAAACCCGGAGGUACUGGUGGAUGGAAAGCUGGACAUGAGCCAGCCAUGUAUGCCCAGAAAGUCAACCGUAUCCUGGGCUGCAUCAAAACAUGCGUGACCGGCAGGUCAAUGGAGGUGAUCCUGCCCCUGAUCUCUGCACUAGUGAGGUCUCACCAGAAGUACUGAGUCCAGAUGUGGAGUCCGCAGUACAGAAUAGACAUGGACCUGUUGAAGCACAUCCAGAG